rnacentral:rRNA from 1 species
AUUGAACGCUGGCGGCAUGCCUUACACAUGCAAGUCGAACGGCAGCACGGGAGCAAUCCUGGUGGCGAGUGGCGAACGGGUGAGUAAUAUAUCGGAACGUGCCCAGUCGUGGGGGAUAACGUAGCGAAAGCUACGCUAAUACCGCAUACGAUCUAUGGAUGAAAGCGGGGGAUCGCAAGACCUCGCGCGAUUGGAGCGGCCGAUAUCAGAUUAGGUAGUUGGUGGGGUAAAAGCCUACCAAGCCUUCGAUCUGUAGCUGGUCUGAGAGGACGACCAGCCACACUGGAACUGAGACACGGUCCAGACUCCUACGGGAGGCAGCAGUGGGGAAUUUUGGACAAUGGGCGCAAGCCUGAUCCAGCAAUGCCGCGUGCAGGAUGAAGGUCUUCGGGUUGUAAACUGACUUUUGUACGGAACGAAACGGCUCUUUCUAAUAAAGGGAGCUAAUGACGGUACCGUAAGAAUAAGCACCGGCUAACUACGUGCCAG